rnacentral:rRNA from 1 species
GUAGGUGGCAAGCGUUGUCCGGAAUUAUUGGGCGUAAAGCGCGCGCAGGCGGUUCUUUAAGUCUGAUGCGAAAGCCCACGGCUCAACCGUGGAGGGUCAUUGGAAACUGGAGAACUUGAGUACAGAAGAGGAAAGCGGAAUUCCACGUGUAGCGGUGAAAUGCGUAGAGAUGUGGAGGAACACCAGUGGCGAAGGCGGCUUUCUGGUCUGUAACUGACGCUGGGGCGCGAAAGCGUGGGGAGCAAACAGGGAUUAGAUACCCUGGUAGUCCACGCCGUAAACGAUGAGUGCUAAGUGUUAGGGGGUUUCCCGCCCCUUAGUGCUGCAGCUAACGCAUUAAGCACUCCGCCUGGGGAGUACGGCCGCAAGGCUG